AUUGAACGCUGGCGGCAGGCUUAACACAUGCAAGUCGAGCGGGGUGAUGGUGCUUGCACUAUCACUUAGCGGCGGACGGAUGAGUAAUGCUUAGGAAUCUGCCUAUUAGUGGGGGACAACAUCUCGAAAGGGAUGCUAAUACCGCAUACGUCCUACGGGAGAAAGCAGGGGAUCACUUGUGACCUUGCGCUAAUAGAUGAGCCUAAGUCGGAUUGGCUAGUUGGUGGGGUAAAGGCCUACCAAGGCGACGAUCUGUAGCGGGUCUGAGAGGAUGAUCCGCCACACUGGGACUGAGACACGGCCCAGACUCCUACGGGAGGCAGCAGUGGGGAAUAUUGGACAAUGGGGGGAACCCUGAUCCAGCCAUGCCGCGUGUGUGAAGAAGGCCUUAUGGUUGUAAAGCACUUUAAGCGAGGAGGAGGCUCUUUUGGUUAAUACCCAAGAUGAGUGGACGUUACUCGCAGAAUAAGCACCGGCUAACUCUGUGCCAGCAGCCGCAGUAA
rnacentral:rRNA from 1 species